rnacentral:lncRNA from 1 species
GUGGCCAGGGAGCCGCAGGCAAGGGACUAAGGGGAGGGGGGCUCAGUGCCAGCUGCUUAAAAAUGCCCCUGUGGCAGCGAGGGGCACCAGAGGCUGGGUCUAAUUAGUUGAGAAGCAGUGACACCCCCAACCACUCCCCAAACAGGCUGGCUCCCGUCUCCAGGCCCCAAGGAGCCACACCUGGACCAGACCCCAGGAAAGACAUGUGGUGGAAACCCUACGGCCCUGGAGCCCAAGGAGAGCAACGGCUGUAACAAGUGCACAGGUUUGAGUGCGCUGAGACAGGGGAACCGUGGGCAAAGAGGUCCCUCCAGAAAGAGCUGGGUGUGAGCAUGGGUUCGUGAGCUUGCCUGGAGCCCUGGCCUCAGCCCUCUCUCACUGAGGUGCCAUCUGGCUCGCAGAUGUGGCCCAUUCCCAGCCCCUCGUGUUUCUUGGAAAUGAGAAAGUCCAGGAAAGGGCACAGGGGCUUUCGCAACGACCGUGGCGAUGAUAGCUUUGACGUGUGGUCAUCCAGCCGGCCACUGCCCACACCCAAGAGAAAGCUGGAUUGAGCAUCAGGAGCCUGGGUUCAAGUCUGCCUCUCAAGCUGUUCCACAGGUGACCCUGGGCAAAUCGCACAGGCUCCUGGAACUUCAGAAAGGGGAAGAAUUAUUCCUGCCUCUGGCGACAUCAGCGAAUGUGCCUUGAGUUACGGGAGUGUUUUGAAGGCUGAAAGCUUUGUGUACACGGAAGGGGUCAAAGACAGCCACAAGCCUGUCCCUUUGGUCUUGGUCAUCAUGUUAACCCCAGGUUUCGAUUUAAUCCUACAUGCUCCUUUCUUAUGUGUGAGGCUGAGGUGGGGGCAUUGGUCAGAGGAGCCUCUGGGAAAUUUCCUUUCAGGACAGUUCUUUUGUUAAGGGGCCUGGGUGUGCUGAGAAGGGAAGGUGGCUCCUCCUGCUCUUGGAGCUUGGAGUUUCUCACAAGCUCUCCCUUAAAAGCCAGGCAGGCCAAGAAGGGAUAAUGGCUGCUCAGGGCCCAAGGGGCAGGAUCUCUGAGGCCCGGAAGAUCUCAGUAGGUUUAGCCCAAGAGUAUCCAGAAGUGGCCCAGGCCCAUUCUCCAUCCCUCAGAGCCUGGCAGCCUGGUCAGGACCCUCAAAGGCCAUGACCGUACCCGUAGGGCACCCUGGUGUCCUUCUGACAGGUGGGAUCUUUGUUUCUUACAGGCAAGGGCGCUAGCUGGUGGGAGCCACCCCGCCAUGCUGAUGUCAGAGAAGCAAGAACUCUGGAGAAGCAGCCUCCUGGGACCAGAGGAGGGCCAGCAGCAGGCAGCCCGGAGACAGAACUGUGAGCCCACCCCACCUCCACCCUUCCGGCACCCACAUCCGCUCCCCACCCCAGCCCACCUGCAGGUGGCUCCUGGAGUAUCCUGGGUCCCUCAGGAUAAACUCCCCACCCUAACCUCAGAAUGACCAAGAAACUGGGCCUGAGGAUGACAAGAAGCAGAAUGGGCCUUGGUAAAGGAAGACCCCCCACUGAUUGGUGGCAGUGCGGGCAGUUCAGGGCUGUCAGCGUCUGGGUUGUAGGUAAAAAGAAAUGGAACCCAAGAAGGGAAAUCCAACUAGGAGCCAAGAAUCCGGUCUACCCCAUCCUCCUUACGAAAUAGCAAUGCAAAGCCCGUGUGAUUUGGACAUAAAGCCUCUGUUACUCAACUUGAUUCGGUGAAUAACAGACUUGAAAGAAAUGUGGAAAAUAAUAGUAAUCUUCCCUAGAAAGGAGUAAACAGGGUUGAGCUCCCAAAGCAGGAAGACCUGGGGCUGUGUGAUCUUGGACGAGUCACUCAACCUCUCUGAGCCUAGUGAUAAAGAGCCAGCUCAUAGGGCUUUGAGAGGAUUUGUGAGGUUGGGCUGGUGUCCCCAGGCACAGCCCUUGGCACAUAGUGAAACUCAAGAAAACAGAGCAGUUUUUACCAUUCAUCACAUUAUUCCCACACUUGCCAAUUUUUUAAGUUCAUGCACAUGGUGGAACAGGUAGGGUGAGGUGCCAGCUCCAUAAGAUGAGUGGAGAAACUGAGGCCUGGAGAGGUGAAAGCAUUCACUCAGAGUUGCAUGUAGAGUCAGUUGCAAAGGAGAAUUCUGGCACCAGUUCUCAUGUGGAUGGAAAAAGUGCAGGAAGAUUUGGAGGUGAGCAGAGGAGAAGGGAGGAGGAGGCCGGGUUCCAGGAAAGGAGCUGACAUCCAGGGAUGUGGGACAAGGCCCAGGCCUGUCUUACAUAACAUGGUCCACCUGUUCACCCCUGCAGGCCCCACAAAUGUGUGCAAACGUGCACCCCGGCACAGCGCACACCCAGUCCUCCCUCACUGGCAAAUAAGCCACAGAGACUGGGUUUAAACAAAUUGGAUUAGGAGGGCUACAGGCGCCUCCUCCCCCCGACUGUCCGGCUCCGACACUAAACAGACCUGCAGAACUGCCAGCUGUGGUCUCUCGGACACACUGACAGUCGGUCCUUGGCUCCCUCACCCCACCCGUGGGCCUCAGGAAGGGGGUUGGGGUCUGAGAGGAUGCCACAGUGAUGGAUGGGGUGAGGGAGGUUCCAGGGCUAGCUCAACAGCGCACAGGAUGUUAGUGCUUUUGCGAGGCACAUUUCCGAGCUGUUCCCAGACCCGCCCCCACUUCCCCCCUCACCCUCCCCUCCGGCAGCCUCUCCCAUGGCCACUGCUGCGGGCUGUGAGCAGAGCCCCGUCCUUGAGCAGAUUGACCUCAUCUUUCAGUCCUGCAGCUGGGCUGAGCGGGGAGUCAGCUCAGAAGACACUGGCCUGGGGAUGAGACUCGGGGCAUGCUUCAGAGGGAAGAAAGAGCUUCUGAACAGACAAUGCUGUCUUAAAGGUGGCAUCUUGGUGCUUUCUCAUGCCUUGUUUUCUUUCAUCCUCAGAAUGUGUCUGGGGGUGAGAGGACGGGUGUGACUGCUGAAACUUCCUUUCUUGGUGAUUCCACAUCACUCCUUUCUGAUCCCUGAGCCUGUGCCACGCCCUGUGUGAUGUGCCGGGGACACCAGGGUGAAUACUUACAGGCCCUGUUCCCCUUCCUUCAUGAAACAGCCUCCUUCGGGCUGGGUCACUGGGCACUGGGGCCUCCCUGGUCUUCCAGGAUUGCAACUUCACAGAAUCCCUUUUCCAUAAGGCACAUGAAAGUGACUGUGACCCGCAACGGGAGCCUUGACAACCAGCCAAUUCAGAACACAGACCUUGACAUCGGAAGGCCCCGAGUUCAAAUCCUGCCUUGCUCCCUUUCAGCUGGAAAGCUGUGGUCAAAUUACUUAGCCUCUCCAAGCCAGUUUUCCCUUCUGCAAAAUGAGGUUACACAAGCUGCCACCUCACAGAAUGAGUGUGAGAAUUAAUUCUUAUUUUCCACACCCUCAUUUGACAGGGGGAGAAACAGAAGCCCAGAGAGGGAAAGGGCUUGGUUAGGAUCACACCAUGAGUUGGGGGUUAAGUCAGGAUGGGGUAGGUCCCCUCUUUCUCUGGGUGUUCCUCUCCCCCAUCCCUUAUCUCAACAUAAAUCCUCCCCAGUUGCCCAGGUUGUCCAGGCGAUUCCUGGCACACGUCCUGGGGCCUGCCCUCCACCUUUAGCCCUGCUCUGGCUUCUGCAGCAGCAGAGUCCUGGGUGACCAGCAGUGGCCCCUGGCCCUCUGAGUGGUGGUGGAGGGUGGGGGUGCACUGCAGCAAGCUCCCAGCCCAGAGCAGCCUGGCCAUAUAAGGGAAGGAGCUCAGGGAGGCCUCCUGGCUCAGGCCUGGCGAGAAAACCCAGACAGCCACUGUUUAUUUUCUCCUCCCCAGCUCACCCACGCCUCUCCAAGCCUCCCAACAGAAGACAGAGGUCCCCCACAGCCAGAGACAUUUCCUGAAGACAUGGGGAACACAGAGGCAGAAACAGCCCAUCCACCCAGGAGCUGUCCCCCACACUGCCGGGAGCCGGCACCCAGAGCCGCCAGGUAAAACUGAGGCCACCUGGUUCAACAUCACCUUUCACAGAAGGGGAAGCAGCCACAGAAAGAAGGGCCUCGUUAAGAAGUGGAACCUGGGACCCCCAAGCGGUGUCUCUCAUCCUGACUGGGGAUCCAGAGUAGGAGGGAGCCUUUGGUGGGGUAAGUGGAAUGGGGCGGGGUGGGGGGUGGCCAUAGACCCCUCUUCUCAGUAAGGCCCUCAUGUGAAGGAGGCAGGGGUUGGGACAAGUGCUAAGUAUGCAAGACUCAAGGGAAGAGCUGCUGGAGCCAGGAGAAGCACCUCCCUCCCGGCCCCUCUGCCCCUCCUCAUAGCCCAGCUGCACUGACUCCUCCUCCAGGAAGCCUUCUCAGCUUCCCCAGGGGUGGGAACCUUUUUGUCCUCCAGGUGUGCUUGGCUGUCCUUUCUUGGGCUCUCUCUCUCUCUCUCUCCUCAUCCCACUUGAGUCUGCCCCCUAUUCACCUUGUGAGGGGAAUUUUCCUUCUACUCAAUCUGACCGAGGUCCUCCAGGUCAAGGACAGCGAGGCUCUCAGUCCCACUUCCCCUUGGCACAUAGAAGAGGCAGUGCGCUGAAGGGACAGGUGAAAUGAUUAGACCCUGCCCCCAAACCAAGGCCUGGCCAAUUGGACAGGGCAUGAGACAUUCAGCGUAGAGGUUAAAACGAGGGCCCUGGGUUAGGAACCCCAGCUCAGUUCUCAGCUCUGUACCCUUGGAAAAUUCCCUUCCCAUGGAGCUUUGUGGAUGCACAAGGACUUGCACAAAGAAAACAUUCAAUAUCCAGGACUAUAAAAUUCCACAAAUGAUUGUGCUUAUUACAUUCAUUAUCACGAUGAUUAUUCCAGACACAAAGGAACAGAACGAGGCACCAACAGCAAGGGGCAAGCAGAUUCAAGGGCCACAGAGGAGAUGGAGGCAAACACCUUCCCCUGGUCAGAGGCUGUGCCUCAGCCCUUCUCCCUGCAUCAGUUUCUCCUUCAGAAGCAUGGGACUACCUCCCAUCUAGUUCUCGUUUCUAAACCUAGGGGAGAUGCUAUCUUUGCUGCAAUAAUCUUAGCCUACAUCUUGGAAUGGAAAUGGCCUUGGUGGAAAUGGUCUUCAACUCCUCUGGUCCAAGCUCAGGCCCUGUGACCCUGGAACAAUCCCCUUCCUGGUCCUCCAUGUAGGAGCAAUAACAUUCCCUUGCCAGCAGCACCAGCCAUUCUGAUGAUUAAAUGGUAUCGGACUCUGUUUUCCAAACUCAGUCAUUCAGAUGCCCCCUAUUUUAUUUCUUCCAUGUCUGCAAAUGAUUAUAAUAUUUUUAAAUGUAGGAUGAGUCCUUUUUAUUACACAUAGAAAUAGCUACUGUAAAUAGCAAACUCUAACACUGUGCCUAAUUAGGAAAUAAAGGUAACCAUAAAUACAG